AACUCCCGGGAAACCGGAGCUAAUACCAGUAUAGUUCCUUGAACCGCAUGGUUCAAGGAUGAAAAGACGGUUUCGGCUGUCACUUACAGAUGGACCCGCGGCGCAUUAGCUAGUUGGUGGGGUAAUGGCUCACCAAGGCGACGAUGCGUAGCCGACCUGAGAGGGUGAUCGGCCACACUGGGACUGAGACACGGCCCAGACUCCUACGGGAGGCAGCAGUAGGGAAUCUUCCGCAAUGGACGAAAGUCUGACGGAGCAACGCCGCGUGAGUGAUGAAGGUUUUCGGAUCGUAAAGCUCUGUUGUUAGGGAAGAACAAGUGCGAGAGUAACUGCUCGCACCUUGACGGUACCUAACCAGAAAGCCACGGCUAAUUACGUGCCAGCAGCCGCGGUAAUACGUAGGUGGCAAGCGUUGUCCGGAAUUAUUGGGCGUAAAGGGCUCGCAGGCGGUUUCUUAAGUCUGAUGUGAAAGCCCCCGGCUCAACCGGGGAGGGUCAUUGGAAACUGGGAAACUUGAGUGCAGAAGAGGAGAGUGGAAUUCCACGUGUAGCGGUGAAAUGCGUAGAGAUGUGGAGGAACACCAGUGGCGAAGGCGACUCUCUGGUCUGUAACUGACGCUGAGGAGCGAAAGCGUGGGGAGCGAACAGGAUUAGAUACCCUGGUAGUCCACGCCGUAAACGAUGAGUGCUAAGUGUUAGGGGGUUUCCGCCCCUUAGUGCUGCAGCUAACGCAUUAAGCACUCCGCCUGGGGAGUACGGUCGCAAGACUGAAACUCAAAGGAAUUGACGGGGGCCCGCACAAGCGGUGGAGCAUGUGGUUUAAUUCGAAGCAACGCGAAGAACCUUACCAGGUCUUGACAUCCUCUGACAACCCUAGAGAUAGGGCUUUCCCUUCGGGGACAGAGUGACAGGUGGUGCAUGGUUGUCGUCAG
rnacentral:rRNA from 1 species